rnacentral:rRNA from 1 species
CCUACGGGUGGCAGCAGUGGGGAAUAUUGGACAAUGGGGGCAACCCUGAUCCAGCCAUGCCGCGUGUGUGAAGAAGGCCCUCGGGUUGUAAAGCACUUUCAGUGAGGAAGAACGCCUGGUGGUUAAUACCCAUCAGGAAAGACAUCACUCACAGAAGAAGCACCGGCUAACUCCGUGCCAGCAGCCGCGGUAAUACGGAGGGUGCGAGCGUUAAUCGGAAUUACUGGGCGUAAAGCGCGCGUAGGUGGCUUGAUAAGCCGGUUGUGAAAGCCCCGGGCUCAACCUGGGAACGGCAUCCGGAACUGUCAAGCUAGAGUGCAGGAGAGGAAGGUAGAAUUCCCGGUGUAGCGGUGAAAUGCGUAGAGAUCGGGAGGAAUACCAGUGGCGAAGGCGGCCUUCUGGACUGACACUGACACUGAGGUGCGAAAGCGUGGGUAGCAAACAGGAUUAAUACCCCAGUAGUC